AGUGAACGCUGGCGGUAGGCCUAACACAUGCAAGUCGAACGGCAGCACAGGAGAGCUUGCUCUCUAGGUGGCGAGUGGCGGACGGGUGAGGAAUACAUCGGAAUCUGCCCAGUCGUGGGGGAUAACGUAGGGAAACUUACGCUAAUACCGCAUACGACCUUCGGGUGAAAGAGGGGGAUCGCAAGACCUCUCGCGAUUGGAUGAGCCGAUGUCGGAUUAGCUAGUUAGCGGGGUAAUGGCCCACCAAGGCGACGAUCCGUAGCUGGUCUGAGAGGAUGAUCAGCCACACUGGAACUGAGACACGGUCCAGACUCCUACGGGAGGCAGCAGUGGGGAAUAUUGGACAAUGGGCGCAAGCCUGAUCCAGCCAUACCGCGUGGGUGAAGAAGGCCUUCGAGUUGUAAAGCCCUUUUGUUGGGAAAGAAAUCUUUCAGGCUAAUACCCUGGGAGGAUGACGGUACCCAAAGAAUAAGCACCGGCUAACUUCGUG
rnacentral:rRNA from 1 species